rnacentral:lncRNA from 1 species
CGUGAAGCUUGCAGCUCCCACUACAUCGCUCUGACCAAGAAGGGUAAAAGAAUAGCAAAGAAACAACACUAACAAAGUUUAGACCCAUAAAUUUUGAAGGUCUAGCUACCAUAUUAUUACCCACAAGGGUAAAGGAACAGUACCACUGCUGGAUAAUUGGAAAGUCCAUGUAUGUCAACCUCUGUGCUUCGUGGCAAGGUCGACUAGCAAACAUGCCCAACCUUUACUCACAUUCGAGAAAACACUCCCAAUAAGAUUGCUUGCUCCAAAAUCGAAGAGGCACCGUCCUCCGAAUCUAAAGAGCCAGACUCCCAACAUGACUACUUUCUUAAAAAUCGAAGAGAGGGUAAAGGAACAGUACCAUUGCUGGAUAAUUGGAAAGUCCCUGUGUGUCAACCUCUGUGCUUCGUGGCAAGGUAGACUAGCAAACAUGCCCAACCUUUACUCACAUUCGAGAAAACACUCCCAACAAGAUUGCUUGCUCCAAAAUCGAAGAGGCACCGCCCUCCGAAUCUCGAGAGCCACUCUCCCAACAUGAUUACUUUCUCAAAAAUCGAAGAGACACUGCUCCCCGAAUCUCGAGAGCCAGACCCCCAGCAUGAUUGCUUUCUCAAAAAUCGGUGAGGCACCGUUCUCCGAAUCAAUCGAAGAGGCGCUCGCUUUCUCAAAAGUUGGGCUGCUCAGAGACCACGAGGGCCGAUCUCAGAAAUCAAAGAGGCACCUACUUUUCUAGCCUUGUCAGCACCUGUCACACGCACACUCAGCUUCGCAGAAAUUAUGGGCAUUCUGUCGAAGACUUCUGGUGAAGUAGAAAGCACAUGAAUCUUACUGUUCAAUCACCCACUUCCCACACGCAACAAUAACUCAUGGGUACCACAGAUCACUUUGCCAAAGUUCUCUGCCAAAGUUGAGCACGUGAAGCUUGCAGCUCCCACUACAUCGCUCUGACCAAGAAAGGUAAAAGAAUAGCAAAGAAACAGCACUAACAAAGUUUAGACACAUAAAUUUUGAAGGUCUAGCUACCAUAUUAUUACCCACAAGGGUAAAGGAACAGUACCACUGCUGGAUAAUUGGAAAGUCCCUGUGUGUCAACCUCUGUGCUUCGUGGCAAGGUAGACUAGCAAACAUGCCCAACCUUUACUCACAUUCGAGAAAACAGUCCCAACAAGAUUGCUUGCUCCAAAAUCGAAGAGGCACCGCCCUCCGAAUCUCGAGAGCCACUCUCCCAACAUGAUUACUUUCUCAAAAAUCGAAGAGACACUGCUCCCCGAAUCUCGAGAGCCAGACCCCCAGCAUGAUUGCUUUUUCAAAAAUCGGUGAGGCACCGUUCUCCGAAUCAAUCGAAGAGGCGCUCGCUUUCUCAAAAGCUGGGCUGCUCAGAGACCACGAGGGCCGAUCUCAGAAAUCAAAGAGGCACCUACUUUUCUAGCCUUGUCAGCACCUGUCACACGCACACUCAGCUUCGCAGAAAUUAU